GAGAGAGACCUCACUCAUUAGCAUUCCACAGCCAUGGACUAAACGCUGACAACUAACAGAGAUAUCCAGCUCUACACACCACUGCAUGCAUUUUCUCCCCCUCUUUGUCUUCUUCCCCACUGGCCCUUCAUUUCCAAGCGGACAGAUCUCUCGUCACAGCCAACAUAUUUUUAUUUAUGCCUUCUCCACCUCCACCCUUUUCUUGCACGAAUGGACCCCGCGCGCGUGCACAAGAGAGAGAGAAACCCCCUUUCCAGUAAAAAGCAGAGAGAAAAAAGGGGGAGAGAGUGAUGUUGUAAAAGCUGUGCAGAAGUGACAGCGCUAAGCACACUCUCUUUUACUUGGGGGAGAGAUAUAUACAAUUGUGUGUGACUUGACAAAAUAGACGUGGGAGAUGGUUUAAAUUGCCUUAAAAUAAACCUUAGUGGCUAUUAUUUAGAUAUUUCAGGAUUUAAAAAAAAAUGCUUCAUUAUGAGGAGGUAAAUUAUAAUAAUUUUACCUCCAGUUUAAUAGUUUAGUCAAUAUUUUUCCACUUAGUUUUGGACGUUUGGUUUCAUUUAGAGUCCACAAUUGGAGAGCAUUUGAAAUGUGUGUCCAAUUCUGUUAUUUAUGACUUCAAUAUAACCUGUAGAAUAAAAUAAACACAGAGCAAAAAAAAAAAAAAACACUAAAUUUCUGAACCUUAAAAAGUUAAAGUUGUCUUUUCCCCAUUUAUAUUAUACUAUUUUUAGAAAGUACACAUGUUUGAAUGAAUAAAACCAAACAUAAAAAAAGAUCUGAAUGAGUAAUACAAGGACUACAACUGACAUUAUUUGGACAAGCUCCUUUUUUCUCAGAUGACUAUAUCUUAAUAUGCAUUCAAGUCUUUUGGCCAACAAUGACAGCUGUUCAUCUGAUAGUAACUUUCUUUUCCAAGUUUUUUUCUCCCCUCCCACCCCGGGGCCCCCGGUCUCUGUCUUGCUUUGUUGUUUUUAAAAUAUGCAUGUCUCUCCGGAAUGCCAGUCACGGGUCCAAACUUUGUGUGUCCCAACCUCCCACAUGAUGAAAUGAUCCUUUUAAAAGCGGGCUCAAUAUGUCUCAAUCUGCACUCCUCUUCUCCUCUCUAAAGCUUCUGGGUUUCGGGAACACACAGCCCAAGAAAAUGUAUUAAUUAAAGCUGCACCACCAGCACUACUACUACUACAGAGUUUUUUAGCACUGCGUGGAGAAGAAGAAGAAGAAGAAGAAGAAGUGGCUGGAUCAAGUCAAGCUCUGUCAACGACGGAUGGAUGAAGAUUCACGACAGGAAAAGAAAAAAAAAAGCGAUCAAUGCCGCAGUGCUCUCUCAUUCACCCUGAACUGGUGGUGAACUCCUCCAGAACGCCGCCAGCCUCUCCGCCCUAUCCCAUCGCAGUCCGGGGUCACCAGGGGGGCGUCUCUGUGCCAAUAUGCAGAUGAGCCUGUGCCCCUCCAAUGACUCUGGCGUUAAGCUCCACCCCCUCUAUAUGGACGCCCCCCCCCCCACCCAACCCAACAACACUCACACACACAUAGAGACAUAAACCCGCGCUCACACUUGCUUAAAUAGGCCUUUAACAGCUUACGUCCACUCUUCCUUUAAUAGCCAAAGUGUGUCGAACCUAAUGGAUGUUGUCAAAGCGGAGAUGUGACGACUGAUUUAGAGAAGGAACCCCAAUGACCAGACUUCACUAGCCACUAAAGACUGAGAGAGAGAGAGGGGGGGGGAGAAAGAAUUACCUCAGCGAUGCCACAAAUCAAAGUAAUAUCUUUUAAAAGAUGUGGGGAUCGAUGAGGUGUCAUCUGGCUGUAUCGUGUGUGUAAAGUGAACCCAUAAACAGCCAAUGAGCGCUACUUUAUCCUCAAUUUUAGUCCCUUGCUGAAAAAAAGUUUCUCAACUGAUAAGCAGAUUCUUUUUUUUUUACGAGCAAUUGAUUUCAUGUAUUGUUAAAACAAGAUAUAACAGACAACGAGCGCUUCCAUUUUAAUCAUUUUAAUUACAACUUCUUGUAUCUUGUAUUUAACUGAUCAAACUUUAAAGUACCCUGUGUAUUUAUGUGCGCUUUUUCUUGCAUUAACUGUGAAUCAAUUAAAGUUGCUAAUUUUAA